rnacentral:ncRNA from 2 species
UACGUAGGUGGCAAGCGUUGUCCGGAAUUAUUGGGCGUAAAGCGCGCGCAGGCGGCCUUUUAAGUCUGAUGUGAAAGCCCCCGGCUCAACCGGGGAGGGUCAUUGGAAACUGGAAGGCUUGAGUGCAGAAGAGAAGAGCGGAAUUCCACGUGUAGCGGUGAAAUGCGUAGAGAUGUGGAGGAACACCAGUGGCGAAGGCGGCUCUUUGGUCUGUAACUGACGCUGAGGCGCGAAAGCGUGGGGAGCAAACAGG